UACGUAGGGGGCGAGCGUUGUCCGGAGUUACUGGGCGUAAAGCGCACGCAGGCGGUCUGUGAAGGUUGGAGUGACAGUUGGUGGCUCAACCACCAAAGUGCUUUGAAAACUGAUAGACUUGAGGGCUUCAGAGGGACACGGAAUUCCGGGUGGAGUGGUGAAAUGCGUAGAGAUCCGGAGGAACACCAAAGGCGAAGGCAGUGUCCUGGGGAGUACCUGACGCUCAGGUGCGAAAGCCAGGGGAGCGAACGGG
rnacentral:rRNA from 1 species